rnacentral:lncRNA from 1 species
GAAAAUGAUAUGUGGAUUGCAACAUUUUGCUUAGUGGCAGUCAUACAUGUGCCACUUGAUUAAAGUCCUAUCUUCUUUUAUACAUCUAUACUAGUUACGGCAAAAUUCAGAAAUAGCAUACUUAUCUCCUUAAUUAUGAGUUUCAUAAUUAUAUAAUAUAGCAAGUUGUAUUUUGUAUUUUUGUAAACUGUUUCUACAAAAAUAUAAAUACA